rnacentral:rRNA from 1 species
UUGUGGUUCAACUGAUUUGAAGAGCUUGCUCAGAUAUGACGAUGGACAUUGCAAAGAGUGGCGAACGGGUGAGUAACACGUGGGAAACCUACCUCUUAGCAGGGGAUAACAUUUGGAAACAGAUGCUAAUACCGUAUAACAAUAGCAACCGCAUGGUUGCUACUUAAAAGAUGGUUCUGCUAUCACUAAGAGAUGGUCCCGCGGUGCAUUAGUUAGUUGGUGAGGUAAUGGCUCACCAAGACGAUGAUGCAUAGCCGAGUUGAGAGACUGAUCGGCCACAAUGGGACUGAGACACGGCCCAUACUCCUACGGGAGGCAGCAGUAGGGAAUCUUCCACAAUGGGCGAAAGCCUGAUGGAGCAACGCCGCGUGUGUGAUGAAGGGUUUCGGCUCGUAAAACACUGUUGUAAGAGAAGAAUGACAUUGAGAGUAACUGUUCAAUGUGUGACGGUAUCUUACCAGAAAGGAACGGCUAAAUACGUGCCAGCAGCCGCGGUAAUACGUAUGUUCCAAGCGUUAUCCGGAUUUAUUGGGCGUAAAGCGAGCGCAGACGGUUAUUUAAGUCUGAAGUGAAAGCCCUCAGCUCAACUGAGGAAUUGCUUUGGAAACUGGAUGACUUGAGUGCAGU